rnacentral:lncRNA from 1 species
CUUACACCAUUGUUAGGCAAGAGAAGAGCUAGACAUGAAAUAAAAUGGCUCCCAUUUACCAUUCAAGAAGUUACCAACUUCUCCCACACGUUAUACCUGAAGAGGUCGCACUGAAAAUCAGCAUCUUUGCUUAUAAAAUGUGUAUAAUGUUUUCUUCCACACAGGUGGAGGUGCUGAGGAGGGUCAGCAAUAGUGCUGACAAAAGGCUUUUCUGCUGUAGAUCCCUUGAAGCCAGUGGAGUUACCCUAACAAGAAGUCUCACCCAGGACACUUCCUGCACAAGCCCAGGGAGCACUUCUAGGAGCAUGACCUCCCUCAGAUGUACCUAUCGUCCCCACAACAUGGCACAGCACCACCCAUUGCUGCUGCAUUCAGAAGACAUGCUGUAGCUGUUGUCUGGAAUCUGUACCGACUUUAAAAUUAUUGCCUCUAGACAUCUUGCUCGUUGUGCUUGUAUCACCUUCAUGGUACGUCGGAUGUUUCCUGCAG